GACCUCCUGGGAUCGCGUCUGGAGAGUGGCUAGUAUUCUACCAGCUUCGGAAACAGGAGGGAAAGCAAGCCUAGCAGAGGUACCCAUUCCAUUCCCAGCUUGCUUGGUAGCUGGUGACUGAUUGGAAGACACUCUGCAACAAGU